rnacentral:rRNA from 1 species
GGGCGAGUAAUCCAUGAUCAAUCUACCCCUUUGACGGGAAUAACGGAUGGAAACGGCCGCUAAGACCCGAUAAGCCAACGAUAAGGCAUCUUAUUGUUGGGAAACGGUUGGGAUCUUCGGACCUUCUGCUUAGGGAAGGGAUCAUGUCCUAUUAGCUAGUUGGUGGGGUUACGGCCCACCAAGGCUGUGAUGGGUAGCCGGCCUGAGAGGGUGGUCGGCCGCAUUGAGACUGAGACACGGCUCAGACUCCUACGGGAGGCAGCAGUCGAGAAUCUUCCNCAAUAGGCGAANGCCUGACGGAGCGACGCCGCGUGGAGGAUGAAGGCCUUCGGGUUGUAAACUCCUGUCACCCGUUAAGAAUUGCAGGGCGUUAAUAGCGUUCUGCUUGACUAAGGCGGGAAAGGAAGCACCGGCUAACCCUGUGCCAGCAGCCGCGGUAAGACAGGCGGUGCAAGCGUUGCUCGGAAUCAAUUGG